rnacentral:rRNA from 1 species
CCUACGGGAGGCAGCAGUGAGGAAUAUUGGUCAAUGGAGGAAACUCUGAACCAGCCAUGCCGCGUGAAGGAUGACGGCCCUACGGGUUGUAAACUGCUUUUAUACAGGAAGAAUUAUACCUACGUGUAGGUAUUUGACGGUACUGUAAGAAUAAGGAUCGGCUAACUCCGUGCCAGCAGCCGCGGUAAU